ensembl:snoRNA SNORA62 Small nucleolar RNA SNORA62/SNORA6 family
GCUGCACAUCCUUAGAGCUUAGAGCUGAGGCUACUGGCUGGCUGAUAAACCCACAAGUGUCAGUAGUGUGCUACAUGAGGGGCAAGUCUUUUGUUAACACCACAAGGGUCUCUGGCCCAAUGAGGGGAGUUUGAUAGUAAUUCUUGCUACAAAU